AUAAAUGUUGAUAAGCGUGUACGGUGCAUUGUUUAUAUAGCAUUGGAGUAGCAAAAAUCUCCCAUGCUUGUCUCCUGUUUUCUUAAGUAAUGAGAAAGCUACUCCCUUCCCUAUCAAGAUGGACACUCCCCGCUUCUUUUUUUUGUAGCAUGAGUGAAAAUCAUGAGGGAAUGCAUUGGAGCAGAAUUUGGGACGUGCGCCCCAUUUGAAAUGGGU